UACAGAGGGGGCAAGCGUUAUUCGGAAUUAUUGGGCGUAAAGGGCGCGUAGGCGGCUUUGCAAGUGACGGGUGAAAUCCCUCGGCUUAACCGAGGAACUGCCUGUCAAACUGCAUGGCUUGAGACCGGGGAGAGGUGAGUGGAAUUCCCAGUGUAGCGGUGAAAUGCGUAGAUAUUGGGAGGAACACCAGUGGCGAAGGCGGCUCACUGGACCGGUACUGACGCUGAGGCGCGAAAGCGUGGGGAGCAAACAGG
rnacentral:rRNA from 1 species